rnacentral:lncRNA from 10 species
CACAGCACACAUCAGCGCACACACAGCACACAUCACCGCACACAGCACACAUCAGCACACACACAGCACACAGUGCACACAUCAGCACACAUCAGCACACACAGCACACAGCACACAUCAGCACACACACAGCACACACAAGUGCACACACAGCACACAUCAGCACUCACACAGCACACAUCACUGCACACACAGCACACAUCAGCACACACAGCACACACACAGCACACACAAGCGCACACACAGCACACAUCAGCGCACACACAGCACACAUCAGCACUCACACAACACACAUCACUGCACACACAGCACACAGCACACACAGCACACAUCAGCGCUCACACAGCACACAGCGCACAGACAGCACACAUCAGCACUCACACAACACACAGCACACAUCAGCACUCACACAGCACACAGCACACACACAGCACACAUCAGCGCACACACAGCACACGUCAGCACACAGCACACGUCAGCACACAUCAGCACACAGCACACAUCAGCACACACAGCACACACAGCACACAUCAGCACUCACACAGCACACAGCACACACACAGCACACAUCAGCGCACACACAGCACACAGCACACACACAGCACACAUCAGCGCACACACAGCACACGUCAGCACACAGCACACAUCAGCACACAUCAGCACACAGCACACAGCGCACACAGCACACAUCAGCACUCACACAGCACACACAACACACAUCAGCACACACAGCACACAUCAGCACUCACACAGCACACAUCAGCGCUCACACAGCACACAGCACACACACAGCACACAUCAGUGCACACACAGCACACAGCACACACAGCACACAUCAGCACACAGCACACAUCAGCACUCACACAGCACACACAACACACAGCACACACAGCACACAUCAG